rnacentral:lncRNA from 10 species
GGACUUGGCUGAGUGCCCAGGCCUGGCCUCUGUCUCCCAGAAUCAGACAGGGGCCUUUCCCAAUAAGGAGCUUCCCAACUCUGGGUCCACUUCCCUGUUGCCCCCACCCCUUCUCCCCUCUAACAGUUCUUCUGCCCUAAAAUGGCCACGUUUUGCCUUUCUUCCCUCCCCUACACCCAGGUUUGGGCCCCAGGGGUAGAGCUGGGGGUUGGAUAAGGGUAAGACUGCACAGGGGCCAGAUGGGCUGGUUUGGAGAAGGGUAAUGAGAUCCCAGGAAGAGAGAGGAACCGUGCCACAUGACUCAGCCACCAAGCAGCCCUAUGGAGAGGCCAAUGUGGAGAGAAACUGAGGCCUUCCACCAAAAGCCAGCACCAACUUGCUAUCCAUGUGAGUGAACCAGCUUGCAGUACAGAGUGGUCAACCCCAGUCAAGCUUUCAGAUAACUACAAGCCUAGUUGACAUCUUGACUACAACUUCAAGAGAGACAUCAAGGCAGAACUGCUUCGCUAAACUGCUCUUGAAUUCUUGACCCACAGAAACUGAGAGAGAGAAUAAAUAUUUAUUGUUGUUUCAAGUAACUACAUCCUGGGGGUAACUUCUUAUGUAUAGAUAAUAUAUA